AACGCGAAGAACCUUACCAGGUCUUGACAUCCUCUGACAACCCUAGAGAUAGGGCUUUCCCUUCGGGGACAGAGUGACAGGUGGUGCAUGGUUGUCGUCAGCUCGUGUCGUGAGAUGUUGGGUUAAGUCCCGCAACGAGCGCAACCCUUGAUCUUAGUUGCCAGCAUUCAGUUGGGCACUCUAAGGUGACUGCCGGUGACAAACCGGAGGAAGGUGGGGAUGACGUCAAAUCAUCAUGCCCCUUAUGACCUGGGCUACACACGUGCUACAAUGGACAGAACAAAGGGCUGCAAGACCGCAAGGUUUAGCCAAUCCCAUAAAUCUGUUCUCAGUUCGGAUCGCAGUCUGCAACUCGACUGCGUGAAGCUGGAAUCGCUAGUAAUCGCGGAUCAGCAUGCCGCGGUGAAUACGUUCCCGGGCCUUGUACACACCG
rnacentral:rRNA from 1 species